rnacentral:rRNA from 1 species
AUUGAACGCUGGCGGCAUGCCUUACACAUGCAAGUCGAACGGCAGCACGGGGGCAACCCUGGUGGCGAGUGGCGAACGGGUGAGUAAUGCAUCGGAAUGUACCCAGUAGUGGGGGAUAACUAGUCGAAAGAUUAGCUAAUACCGCAUACGCACUACGGUGGAAAGCGGGGGAUCGCAAGACCUCGCGCUAUUGGAGCAGCCGAUGUCCGAUUAGGUAGUUGGUGGGGUAAAAGCCUACCAAGCCUGCGAUCGGUACCUGGUCUGCGAGGACGACCAGGCACACUGGGACUGAGACACGGCCCAGACUGCUACGGGAGGCAGCAGUGGGGAAUUUUGGACAAUGGGGGAAAACCUGAUCCAGCAAUGCCGCGUGUGUGACGAAGGCCUUCGGGUUGUAAAGCACUUUUGGCGGGAACGAAACGGCGCUUUCUAAUACAGAGUGCUAAUGACGGUACCCGCAGAAUAAGCACCGGCUAACUACGUGCCAGCCGCCGCGGUAA